rnacentral:rRNA from 1 species
AUUAGGAAUCUUGCGCAAUGGGCGAAAGCCUGACGCAGCGACGUCGCGUGGAGGAUGAAAUCUUUCGGGAUGUAAACUCCUUUUACCAGGGAAGAAGAAUGUGACGGUACCUGGGGAAUAAGCCCCGGCUAACUACGUGCCAGCAGCCGCGGUAAUACGUAGGGGGCGAGCGUUGUCCGAAGUUACUGGGCGUAAAGAGCGCGUAGGCGGGUCUUUAAGUGAGUGGUGAAAGGUUAGGGCUUAACCCUAACACUGCCUUUCAUACUGGGGACCUUGAGUGCGGGAGAGGCGAGUGGAAUGGUCGGUGUAGCGGUGAAAUGCGUAGAUAUCGAUCGGAACACCCAUGGCGAAGGCAGCUCGCUGGCCUGCAACUGACGCUAAGGCGCGAAAGCGUGGGGAGCAAACAG